GACAUAGGUGGCAAGCGUUAUUCGGAAUUACUAGGCGUAAAGCGAGUGUAGGCGGACGAUUAAGUUCGAUGUUAAAUCUCCAGGCUUAACUUGGAGUCGCAUCGAAUACUGGUCGCCUCGAGUGGGGUAGGGGGCAGCGGAAUUCCCGGUGUAGCGGUGAAAUGCUUAGAUAUGACAUAGAACACCAAUUGCGAAGGCAGCUGGCUACACGAAUAUUGACACUGAUGCACGAAAGCGUGGGGAUCAAACAGG
rnacentral:rRNA from 1 species